AUACGGAGGAUGCGAGCGUUAUCCGGAUUUAUUGGGUUUAAAGGGAGCGUAGGUGGGAUAUUAAGUCAGCUGUGAAAGUUUGGGGCUCAACCUUAAAAUUGCAGUUGAUACUGGUUUCCUUGAGUACGGUACAGGUGGGCGGAAUUCGUGGUGUAGCGGUGAAAUGCUUAGAUAUGACGAAGAACACCGAUUGCGUAGGCAGCUGACCAGACCGCAAAUGACGCUCAUGCACGAAAGUGCGGGGAUCGAACAGGAUUAGAUACCCUGGUAGUCCGCACAGUAAACGAUGAAUACUUGUUUUCGGCGAUAUAAUGUCGGAGGCAAAGCGAAAGCGAUAAGUAUUCCACCUGGGGAGUACGCCGGCAACGGUGAAACUCAAAGGAAUUGACGGGG
rnacentral:rRNA from 1 species